GAGGAAAGAGGGAGGCGUGCUUAACACAUGCAAGUCGAACGGAAAGGCCCUGCUCUUGCUGGGUGCUCGUUUGGCGCACGGGUGUGUAACACGUGAGUAUCCUCCCCUUGUCUUUGUGAUAACUCCACGAAACUGGGGCUAAUACCGCAUAGGAUCUCCUGCUGCACGUUGGUGGUUGGAAAGUUUCGGCUGUGGGGUAUCGUCUCGCGGCUUAUCAGCUUGUUGGUGUGGUAGUUGCUUACCAAGGUUUUGACGGGUAGCCGGCCUGAGAGGGUUAACGGCCACAAUGGGACUGAGAGAGGGCGCAGACUGCUACGGGAGGCAGCAGUGGGGAAUAUUGCAGAAUGGGGGGGAGCGAGAUACAGAAACGCCGCGUGCGGGAUGACGGCCUUCGGGUUAUGAACCGAUUUGGCAUGUGACGAAGCGUGAGUGACGGUAAUGGAUAAAGAAGCAACGGCUAACUACGUG
rnacentral:rRNA from 1 species